UAUGGUAUAAUUGUUAGCCAACAAUGAGUUGAGCCAAAAAAAUAGCCAGCCAAACUAGUUAAGCCAAAACUCAUCCUUCUAAACAUCACUAGUUUUAAAAGAGUGUCUUACUUUGCUACAUUAUAGCAAACUUCUUAGGAAACCCAGGAUUCCUAUAUGUAGAAGACAAAUUUAUAAGAAACACUGUCAGUUUUAUGAGUAAUUUGCUAAGUCGUUUAAGGGAAAGAUGGUUGUGUUAGUAUUUUCUGGGUCUAUUCUAACAAAUUAUCAGAAACUUGGUGGCUUGAAAGAUAGAAAACCCACAAUGGUCUCAUUGGUACCACGGUGCCAGCAGGGCUUUUUUUUUUCUACUUGAAUAGAUUUAGUAGUCGCCUUGCCCAGCUCAACCGUCCAUGCCUGCUUGCUUGUCUUGGUUUAUAAUCCAAUCCUUCAUCUUCAGAGGCUGCACUAUGGCAUCGGGUUUGGCUGCCUUUCUGUGUCUAACCGUCUUCCUCUUGUGAGUUCUUGUUAUUGUAUUUAAGGCUCAUUGGGAUAAUACAGGAGGAUGCCUCAUCUCAAGAACUCUAGCUUGAUCGGUUAAGUCUUGAGAAAUCUUCUGGUUUUAGAAAGCAACUUUCAGAGGUCCCAGAACUGGAAUCUGUGGGGAGUGUUGGUAUCAUUUAACUCGGCAGAGUGACACACACAUGUCUUAUGCUAAAGGUAGAUGGUUUGAGGUGCUAUCUCCAAACUGGAUAUAAGGUAAGGCGAUUUUACUAGUAAUUUAUGCCACCAAUUUUUCUAAAAUAUGAGUACAGGAGAGAUAUAGAUAAAUGAAGCAAAGGUCAGCUAACCCUGGCUAAUCUCCAUUUCAAUAAUCAAGAAAAUAGGCCCCUCAAUAUUUCCAACAGCCUCGUACUUACUGACAUCAGUGAGUAUGUUGCUAUUUCUUUCUCUCUUUUGUUUUUUCUGAUCAGGAAUUUCAGUAAAAUUGCUAUUCAGUCGAUCUCUCAAAAUCUAUUAGAUUUUCUUUGAUAAUGGUGGAGAGGGCGGUAGAAUAAGGAGGCCCCAUACUGCUUCCUUUUUGACUGGAAUAUCAUGUGAUGGUUUGAUGUGCGUCUCCACCCACUCCUGCUUUAAAACACGUUCAUGAAAUCUGGAGUAAACCAUGUUACAAUUCUAUGUUCCAAUUUCAGGCUUGCUGGAUGGACCCAAUUUUCCAAAUGACUGAAGACACCGACCGCACUGGGAAGAGUCAUUGCUCGUGUCAACUCAUCAAGUAGUCUAAACAAGCCUGUUGGAGGCUGGCCAGCUCCGGACAGUCAUUGACCACAGAUGCGAUCUGGAAGCCCAUUACAGCUUGUGGAAGCGAGAGGGAAAGUAGACCACGCUUCCAGCCAGUCACCUGCUUAUGAAGCCGGUCUACCCAGCACAUAGUUUUUGUGUAAAGCCGUCAGCACAAAUUCCUGCUUCAGGACGGGACGAAGUAAGUCCAACACGCAUAUACAACAUGUUCAGAUCAUCCCUGCCUCUGGAGAUCCCAGAAGCCUGCACUGUGUGGCAUGAGCCACAGGAAGCGAAUCGCUGCGCCUGCCUGCUCUAAGAACUCCACCAGCUCCAGCUGCUGGAGGCUAUGUGUUCUGUCUGUGUGUGACUCACAAGAGUUGGGAAGAGACACAGGUUUUUGCCUCAUGUGGCUCUUUACCCUCUGCUUAAACAGAAACACAGCAGGGACCUUACCACGUGAUCGGCACCUGAAACCGUAACUCAUCUUGGGUUCAUUUGAAAUCUGCCCUGACUUUAGUUCAGAGCUCCAGGCAAGUUCACGCAGAGGUCCACCAGCCUCAGCAGACCUUCCGGCGAACUUGACCUGAAUUUGAGAAUUGGAUUUAGAAGUUCGGCGCUUUCAUUCAGGAGCGUCGCCUCACCCUCAGCUAUCUGAGCCACAAUCUGAAAUCCCAUCAGGCGCACUUCAGACCAUAUGGAAUAAAGAUAGAGGCUUCUGUGGCUCCGGCGGGCCACACAUUCAUUCCAAUGUCUUCUUAUCCUCAACAGACCCAGCUAGACCAAAGAGGAAACUGUUUUCACUUUUCUUAAAAAAAAAAAAAAAAGACAUUGGAUAUUCGUCUCAGUUGCUAGAAAAUGAACUGGUCAAAAAACCAGUCCAUUUCUUGACACUCCAUUACAUAUGCUGAGGGACUGUGCACCGAGCCUUUGCUUUCUCAUCAGAGAUGUUCGCUGUUUCUGAACGUAGCAAUCCCUCCUGACUACAUAAUGCAUUCACAAUCAAACUAUUAUUUAUGACAGUAAGUUCAUAUUGCUGCAAAAUUUCAAAACUGCCUUUGAUAACAUAAUUUUAAUUCUGAAAGUCAUAAUGCAAAAUUGAAGCCUUUUGAAAUAUUACAGCUAUCUAGAACAGUGGAGAGAAGUCUUGGAAGGCAAAUAAAGCAUUGUAUAUCUUGAA